AUCUCGACAUCUGCCGCAUCAGAACCCUUCUUCGCCGCAAAGAUCCGUCAAUAACUACCCACAACUUGCUCCUCAACGGAAGGCGUUGCCUCCGUUUGAAAAAGCUCUGGUAGGAAUUAGAUUUCGACAAUAACUAGGUUCCGUUCUCCGUUGGAGCAAGUUGUGGGUCGUUAUUGACGGAUCUUUACGGCGAAGAAGGGUUCUGAUGCGGCGGAUGUCGAGAUCUAAAUUGAGCAUGACUGUUGAGGUUUGGAUUAGGUUCGUCAUAUUCGUCCAAGUGCACCCACCAGAUUGGUUCUAUUACGAUUGAAGUAAAGACAAAAGAGGGAGGUGUUCUUGUAGUCAAGAAGCGUAAGGAAAUAAUAAGAAGAAAGGAGAUAAGAGAGUCAGUCAGCCAGAAAUGCUAGACCACAAGUGUCUGACUAUUUGGAGUUUCCAACAUGGAUCGGUUUGUGAUACUUAGAAUUAUUUCCUCAAAAAAGAAGCUUCCAGCUUUUGGAGUAGUGGGUUCCAAACUCUCUGAGAAAGUUUGAAUCAUGCCAAGGACCUCAGAUCAGGAGAACAUUAACAUGAAUGAAGAGUCUGGCAUCCAUCAUUAUAUAGAAGGAUGAUAGUUUUAAAGUAUUUUUCGAGACUUGUGUUAUGGGUGAAUAAUGUUUGUUAUAUGAAAUGAUGUGUAUCUUGUGGAUGUUUAUUAUAUA